AUGCGGGCUAGACUGGAGGGGUAGGGGUCCUCUGUAAGCACAUAUCCCCUAUAUGGUGCGGUUGAAGUUAAGGAGGCGGCAAAUUAACUUAUUAUCAGCCCUUAAAUUUAAUGUCGAAACCACGUCCCGCAGGAUUAGUGGUGAUAGGGUUCUUACUGGAGGGUAAGAAUAAACUAUCUUAAUCAUGGGAACGGGUCAGGCCUGGAAAGGAGCAGCUCUACCAUAAACAGCUGAUGCUUGUGGAGCAACGGGGUGGAAUUGAAUUUCUGGAUAACUGAUUGUCGGAAGGUUUGUCCACUCCUUAACAUGCCUUUAA
rnacentral:SRP_RNA from 1 species